rnacentral:tRNA from 1 species
GGAUUGUGGCUCAGUGGUAGAGUGCUCACCUAGCAUGCACGAGGCCCUGGGUUCGAUCCUCAGCACCA